rnacentral:rRNA from 1 species
AGUGAACGCUGGCGGUAGGCCUAACACAUGCAAGUCGAACGGCAGCACAGUAAAAGCUUGCUCUUACGGGUGGCGAGUGGCGGACGGGUGAGGAAUACAUCGGAAUCUACUUUUUCGUGGGGGAUAACGUAGGGAAACUUACGCUAAUACCGCAUACGACCUACGGGUGAAAGCAGGGGAUCUUCGGACCUUGCGCGAUUGAAUGAGCCGAUGUCGGAUUAGCUAGUUGGCGGGGUAAAGGCCCACCAAGGCGACGAUCCGUAGCUGGUCUGAGAGGAUGAUCAGCCACACUGGAACUGAGACAGGGCCCAGACUCCUACGGGAGGCAGCAGUGGGGAAUAUUGGACAAUGGGCGCAAGCCUGAUCCAGCCAUACCGCGUGGGUGAAGAAGGCCUUCGGGUUGUAAAGCCCUUUUGUUGGGAAAGAAAAGCAGCAGGUUAAUACCCCGCUGUUCUGACGGUACCCAAAGAAUAAGCACCGGCUAACUUCGUG